AGUGAUACUCCUGCCUCAGCCUCCUGAGUAGCUGGGAUUACAGGCACCCACCACUAAGCCCAUUUUAUAUUAUUCUUUUCAUACUAAGUUUUUGAAAUCUGGUAUGUAAUCUACACUUACUCCACAUCUCAGUUAGGACUAGCCACAUUUCAGUUGCUCAUUAGCCACAUACGUGGUUAGAGACUAUAGCACUGAACAGCACAGAACAAUAUUCCUGAGAUGAAUGAGGUGUGGAUGCACGCCAGGUAGACCAGACUAGGUGUUAGAUAUUCAAAUUCCAAAACCACUUUGGAUCAAGCCCUUGAGACGUCUCAUAGGAGCAAAGGGUUUUUUUCUAUCACUGGCCUUAAAAGUGGGUACCCUUCUGAAGGUAGGAGUCAAUGAGGCCUAAUGGAAAAGGAAUUAAUUUUAGAAAGGUCUCUUAUUAAUUAUGUGGCUUGGAACAAGUUACUGAAUCCUUCUGAACCCAUUUUCCUCCUCUGUAAAAGGUGGACCCAAAAAAUCUCUUGUAGAGUUGAAAUGUAUUUACAUGCCUGGCACCAAAAAAGCACCCAAUAAAUAAUAGCUUUCAUUAAAUAUUUUAUUUUGUACUAUCAGAUACCUUCUUUAUUUAAUAGACUAAAAGGCUGACAAAUGAGAUCCCUAGAUGAUAUGCCAUCCAACAAAUAUUAAUAGAGUACCUACCAUGUCUCCAACACUGUUCCAGGCACUUAGGACAUAUCAGUGAACAAAAUAGACCAGGAGGAUGUGCUGUCCCAGACAAUCAACACAAGGCUCUGAUGUGAGUACCUCGUAACACAAUCUUCAGGCAAAACUAGCAUUUUCAAUAUGAAUCUCACAUCAGAAGAGAAACAAUGCUAGAGGUGCAGCAAGAACAGAGAUCCUUUUGGCCUGUGUGUGGUACCUGUAAGGAAAUACUGCACAAGCGCUGGCACUGCCCUACCCCAUGAGUUCUACAAGGGGAGUGCAAUGUUGUAUGGGGUACUGUAGCCAUAUUUACAAGUGGCGAUUCUCCUUGGAAUAUCAUUGUUAUUUUAAGGUAAGUAAUUUAAAAUACUAUUUUAACAUGAAGACCAACACAGAAAUAUUUUAAAGCUAAAUGCAAAAUUCACAUACAGUUUUAUAACAUAACAUCGACUCCAAAGAAAUUUCUAGGUUGUGGUGAGCAUAACAGGUCACAUGACAGGAAUAUUAGGUAUUGUGCUUUAUUUUUAUAAGGAUACCUUGUUAGAAGCAAGAGGCUCUUCUUUAUUCUCUAAUCAAUUUCGUGGAGAAAUAUUCUUCUGUGCUUGCACUGAGAGCUUGAAACCUUGGCCAGUAAACGCUGAAUUCAAAUCCACAGACUGUUUUUUAAAACAUUUUUUAAAGUAACCAGGGUAAUCCAUUCACAAGCAAACGUGAAACAUGUCUUUGGGCCAUGGUUUCCACAAAUAGGGUUAGAGUGGGUCUGAAGUUAGCCUCAGGCUCUCUGGGUUAGAGACUAUGGCUAGAUAGCUGGACUUCUGAGGCACUUAAAGCCAUCCAGCCUAAUCCUUUCCUUUGAUAGAGGAGGAAUCAGAGACCUUUGAAAAGUUAAAGAUAUGAUCCAAGUCAGAGGGAGAAAUUAGACCCCAAACUUAGGUCUUCUGAUUCUUAGUCUGGUGCUCGAUACUCAACACUAAAUAGUUAUCUUAUUAAAUGUAAGUCUUUUAAAAAAAAAGUACAAAUUAGCAAGUUUAUUUAGAGCAGGAAGGAGAUAAGAGGAUACAACUCCUUGUAAUGUUAGGCACUGGUAAAACACAAAUUGCCAGGGUUCAAAUUCAUGGUUUGACACUAGUUAGCUAUACUUAGAAAACUUACUCAACCUCUCUAAGCCUCAGUCUUU
rnacentral:lncRNA from 1 species